AACAAAUCCCCGCACCGUACCCCGCACUGCACAAAGUCGACAUACCUUGCAUCAUCCAUCCAAUAAAAAGACGGCAUUUUUAAGAAUGUCUUCAGGCCAUCUUGACUCUCAGAUGAACGGCCUGAAUCAAAGGAGUACGUACUCUUCAGCAUGACCAUACUGCGCUCUCACAAGAAGCUUCAAGGGCACGUUUCUUCGUUCUUCUGCCUUAUAUGUACAAUGGUCACUCUUGGUCUCGGUUCUCUGUUGCGAGAAUUGGAUCUCUCAGGCGCUCCCAUUGAUGGGAGAUCCGAAAAAUCCCGCGACGGCGGCGUUUAUUUCGCUCCCGCCUGGCUGCCGAUUCCACCCCUCCGAGGAACAGCUUCUCCGCCACUAUCUCGCCGGCAAGAACAACGCUUCCGGUGGCUCUGAUUGCGGCUGCGAUGUGAUCAAGGUCGUUGAUUUAUAUGAUCGCAUGCCGUUUGACUUGCCGGGGACGGCGUGCUUUGCGUACGGCAAUCGCGGUAGGAGGCGGCACUGGUACUGUUACACGGCUAGGGUUUUGAAGGGAGGGAGGAAGAGGAGCGCGAGGGGUGGCUAUUGGAAGAGAGAGGGAAGAGUAAGGAAUGUGGUGGGUAGGGAAGAGAAGGUGGUUUUGGGGAAGAGGAAGUGUUUCGUGUUUUAUUUAAUGGAUUCGCCGAAAAGCGCCGCGAGGACCGACUGGGUUAUGCAUGAGUAUGCUUUAGCCGGUCACUCUCAGGCACCUUUUGUCCUCUGUCGAGUGUUUGUCAAAUCUUGCGGUGGGAAUAACACAUCGGAACAUGUUUUAAGUUCUUGUGCUGAAGAAAGUAUUGGAACAGUUAGGCAUAUUGGUGUUCAGCAUGAUGGCUUCAUUACACCAGACACUGUUGAAGCUAAAACAUGCUUGAAUGAUUGUGUUGACCAGAAGAAUGGGGAUUCAUUAUGUCCAACACAACAGUAUGGUGAAAUAAAUGGUCAGGUUGCUGCUGGAUCUGUUUCUGGUUCUGGAUUUCCGUAUUCUUUGGGCAUUCCACCUAACAUCCCGGUUAGAUCAAUGGGACAUAUCAGUGGUGGUGCUCAGUCUGUUGGUGAUAUGACUACUAAGGAAUUAAUUUCUAUUUUACAGGAAGAUUUCAUAGAGUUGGAUGACCUCGAAUGCCCACUUUUGGGUGUGGACUAGCAUGGUAGAUGUUUAAGCACUUGUUUUCCAAGCUGUGAAUGAUUAGUAAUCUUGAUGCUUUGGUUAGCUGUUGCCGGAAAGGCUGAAACAAUUGUUCUGAGAGAAGCAUAGAAAUUGGGAUUGCUUGAGGAAAAACUCCACCACACGUACGGAGUUGUCACCGUCAUGGUAAAGACUUGUUCUGAGAAGUGUAAAAAUUGGAAUUGCUUAAGAAGAAACCUCGAAUGAAAUAACUGUUAAGUUCACAGCAUCAUGGCAAGGAUUGCUUCACCUGUUAAGAUUUGCUCUGUUGCAAUUUAACAGGAGUUUUGCUCCAGUGGAAUGAGAUUGAGAAAGCAGUUUAUGAAUUGGGUGAUUUGAAAACCAAAUUGUUCGAUUGAUGUCAGCUACAGGCUGCCUGCUCAUCCGUCUGCUGCUCCCAUGAUAGUGAAGUUAAAUUAUUAAUCGGUUAAGCUAUUAGUGUUUUUGGGAAAAUUUCUUGUAUUCCAUCAUCUUGAGCAAUGCCUCCUUUCCCCCCAUCUAUUUUUAGCGUGGCACUUCUCACGGUGGGAGCUCUGCUCCUCUUGCUUGUGCUGGUUCUCUGUUUCUGAAUUUCCUUGUAGGUGGUAAGACGAAUAUGCUAUUUUGGAUGCUAAAUGAAUCACUACGUUGAUUUCAUGCUUAAA